rnacentral:lncRNA from 1 species
ACUGUGUCUGAUGCUGAGUUUGACACUGCAAUUAAAUAAGUGGUUGUUUCAGGAAGCUGCUGGAUGAUGUGAGAGAAGGACGAGGAGGAAAGGAAGGAAGAGGAGGAGGAGGAAGAAGAGGAGGACGAUUAUAACCAACAAGAAAGAUUAUAAACAACAUGAACAGGAGAGUCAGUGUAUAAGAGAAGAGAAAUAAGUCUUAGGUUGAUAGCUUCAGCACCACUUGGAUUAGAAUAUAUUAGAAAGCUCCAGAACAGAC